rnacentral:rRNA from 1 species
GGCUUUUCCGGAGUGUAAAAAGCUCCGGGAAUAAGGGCUGGGCAAGGCCGGUGGCAGCCGCCGCGGUAAUACCGGCGGCCCGAGUGGUGGCCGCUAUUAUUGGGCCUAAAGCGUUCGUAGCCGGGCCCGUAAGUCCCUGGCGAAAUCCCACGGCUCAACCGUGGGGCUUGCUGGGGAUACUGCGGGCCUUGGGACCGGGAGAGGCCGGGGGUACCCCUGGGGUAGGGGUGAAAUCCUAUAAUCCCAGGGGGACCGCCAGUGGCGAAGGCGCCCGGCUGGAACGGGUCCGACGGUGAGGGACGAAGGCCAGGGGAGCAAACCGGAUUAGAUACCCGGGUAGUCCUGGCUGUAAAGGAUGCGGGCUAGGUGUUGGGCGAGCUUCGAGCUCGCCCGGUGCCGUAGGGAAGCCGUUAAGCCCGCCGCCUGGGGAGUACGGCCGCAAGGCUGAAACUUAAAGGAAUUGGCGGGGGAGCACUACAAGGGGUGGAGCGUGCGGUUUAAUUGGAGUCAACGCCGAGA